rnacentral:tRNA from 1 species
GCGCUUGUAGCUCAAUUGGAUAGAGUACUUGGCUUCGAACCAAGGGGUUGCAGGUUCAAGUCCUGCCAAGCGCA